AGACCCGAAACCCGGUGAUCUAGCCAUGGGCAGGUUGAAGGUUGGGUAACACUAACUGGAGGACCGAACCGACUAAUGUUGAAAAAUUAGCGGAUGACCUGUGGCUGGGGGUGAAAGGCCAAUCAAACCGGGAGAUAGCUGGUUCUCCCCGAAAGCUAUUUAGGUAGCGCCUCGUGAAUUCAUCUCCGGGGGUAGAGCACUGUUUCGGCUAGGGGGCCAUCCCGGCUUACCAACCCGAUGCAAACUGCGAAUACCGGAGAAUGUUAUCACGGGAGACACACGGCGGGUGCUAACGUCCGUCGUGAAGAGGGAAACAACCCAGACCGCCAGCUAAGGUCCCAAAGUCAUGGUUAAGUGGGAAACGAUGUGGGAAGGCCCAGACAGCCAGGAUGUUGGCUUAGAAGCAGCCAUCAUUUAAAGAAAGCGUAAUAGCUCACUGGUCGAGUCGGCCUGCGCGGAAGAUGUAACGGGGCUAAACCAUGCACCGAAGCUGCGGCAGCGAACGUAUCACCCAAGACAACUUUACGGAGUUGACGAUUGACGGAGCGAAGCGACGUCAAAGCGUUCAUUAAAGUCGAGUUGGCUUAGGGAUACGUUCGUUGGGUAGGGGAGCGUUCUGUAAGCCUGUGAAGGUGUGUCGUGAGGCAUGCUGGAGGUAUCAGAAGUGCGAAUGCUGACAUAAGUAACGAUAAAGCGGGUGAAAAGCCCGCUCGCCGGAAGACCAAGGGUUCCUGUCCAACGUUAAUCGGGGCAGGGUGAGUCGACCCCUAAGGCGAGGCCGAAAGGCGUAGUCGAUGGGAAACGGGUUAAUAUUCCCGUACUUGGUGUUACUGCGAAGGGGGGACGGAGAAGGCUAUGUUGGCCGGGCGACGGUUGUCCCGGUUUAAGCGUGUAGGUGUGUGUUCCAGGUAAAUCCGGUUCACUUUAACACUGAGGCGUGACGACGAGGCACUACGGUGCUGAAGCAACAAAUGCCCUGCUUCCAGGAAAAGCCUCUAAGCAUCAGGUAACACGAAAUCGUACCCCAAACCGACACAGGUGGUCAGGUAGAGAAUACCAAGGCGCUUGAGAGAACUCGGGUGAAGGAACUAGGCAAAAUGGUGCCGUAACUUCGGGAGAAGGCACGCUGACACGUAGGUGAAGUGAUUUACUCAUGGAGCUGAAGUCAGUCGAAGAUACCAGCUGGCUGCAAC
rnacentral:rRNA from 1 species